UCUACCACCAUUAAAAUUAAUUUUGAGUUGAAUGGAUUUCUGAUAGUUCUGCGAACUCCUAUUUAUUCUGAUGUUGUCAUGCAUUCAAUCAUAUUUCUCACCCUCUAAUUAACAAUGCUGCCUUACCAGAACUUGCACCAAGCAGAGGCAGCUCUUGGCAGAGAGCUAACUAUUGCAGAGAAACUAUGGCUCAAUUACUCAGCCAAUAAACCUGAUUACCUUCUUCAUUAUCAUAACAUUCUCUUCCUGAUCCUCUUUUACUCUAUAGUUCCUCUCCCAUACAUGUUUAUUGAACUAAGCCGGUCCAAGAGGAUAGACAAGCACAAGAUUCAAUCCAAAAUCAAGAACUCAUUCCAAGACAUGCUGAAAUGCUACAAGGAUGUUGUGCAAACUUUUAUCGUUGUUGUUGGUCCUCUUCAAGUCUCUUCUUACCCUUUCAUCAAGCUGAUUGGCAUCCGAACUAGUCUGUCAUUACCUUCAGGAGGGGAAAUGUUCUGGCAGUUAUUAGUGUAUUUUCUGAUAGAGGAUUAUACCGGUUAUUGGGUUCAUAGGUUGCUUCAUUCCAACGGGGGCUAUGAGAAAAUCCACCAUGUUCACCAUGAAUAUAGUGCUCCAAUGGGGUUUGCAGGGCCUUAUGCACACUGGUCUGAAAUUUUGAUUCUUGGCAUGCCUGCAUUUCUUGGUCCUGCAGUAGUUCCUGGACACAUUACUACUUAUUGGCUAUGGUUCGUUUUAAGACAAAUAGAAGCUAUAGAGACUCACAGCGGAUAUGAUUUUUCAUGGAGUCCAACAAGAUUUAUACCAUUCUACGGAGGUGCAAGGUACCAUGAUUAUCAUCAUUACGUGGGUCGCCAUAGCCAAAGUAAUUUCGCUUCCGUUUUCACAUACUGUGAUUACCUUUAUGGAACAGACAAGGGCUAUCGGUACCACAAGUCCAUCCACCGAAAGGUACCUCUCUAAGGCAACUUUCUUUUUUAUACACACGAGGGUCCACCGCCAAAAUAUGGCCGGUGAUCAGAAAUGCCAUUUUCGACUUCCAAGGGGACGUCGUUUUCUUGAUGGUUCAAGGGUCAUCAUUGUCCUGAGUACUUGCAUGUUGCAAUGGGAUGGAGGAGACAGUGGAGAGGAAUGGCGGACAUCGUGAGGGCAGCUAUAAUUCCAUGCCUGCCCAAGAUUUCAAAUCCGAAUAACUAUGAUAUAUCAGUGGGACGCAGUAUUUUGAUCCAGUUUCUCUGUUAUAUUAUUAGUAUUUAAAAGUUGUUAUGGUUUGUGAGGAUGUGUAGUAGAGGUAAGUGUUAGGCUUGGGAUUGUACUCCAAAAUAUAAAUAAAUUGGUGAGCUACGGCCUUUAUUAUCUA